GGGAAGGCUCCAGGGCCCGGGCCCAGCUGCCCGCGGGCACUGCCAGGUCGGCGGCACACGCACCUGAUGGGGCGGCUCUGACGGAGGCGGUGCCCAGGACCGGGCUCGAGGCCUCGUCUUACGUUGGCGGCGGCCACACCCCUGACCCGGCGGGGCCCUCCGCGCCGCCUCGGGACUGCAGCGCUGCUCGCCGGCCAGGCCGCGGGCCGAGAGGCGGGGCGAGGGCCGGAUUCCCGCGCCGGGUGGGGCGCCGCCUCCGGAACGCCGCGGGGCGUCUCACUCGGCCUCCGAGGGCGACCUCGGGGCACGCAUCGACCGGAAGGCUCCUCAGCUUCUGGGCCGUGGUUGCUGUUGGAAAACGGAGUGUAGCCCCGGGUCUCGAGCCCUAGGCCUGACUCCCCGGUGCAGACGCGGUGCGGAGACCGGGGCCGCGUGCUGUUCAGAAGCGCAGCCGCCGGCGAGGCGGGCCGCGGAGGCCUGAGCAGGCACAGGGCUUGGCAGAGGGUCCUGCGCUUCCUCGGCGGGUACCCGUGCAGGUAGAGGAGCACUGGGCUGCGCAGCUGAAAGGACAACGUGGAAGGAUUGUCAGGCAGUGGUGAUGGAAGGCAGAGGAGAUGACCCGAACUGAGAGAGAUCAGAGUCUUUUCUCUGUCGUGUGUGCCUUAAUUCGAUGAGGGUGUCCAAGAAGAAAGGAGACUCAUCUGAUGACCAGGGGUGGCUUAUCUCAACAAGUUACACGCAUUCUGGUCACAGGGUAAUCCAGACAAGUGUCUUGAAUUACAGUUUUCAAAAGACUCAGAGGCUAAACACUUCAGUGAGUAUUAAUAAUCAGCAGUGUCUCAGAUAAUGGUUACUCCAUCAGCCUGAGCCCUCGAGAGAGGAUGACAAUGAUCCAGAGCACAGCUCCCCACCAACCAAUGGGAGAGUGGGAGCAAGAAAGGAAUCUCUACUGUUUUAAGUUGCUGAGACUUUUGAGAUUGUUAUGAUAGCAUACCUAGCCUCUCCAAACUGUUACAGCCCUUCAGUCCCCGCCAUCAGCCUAUACUGUAUUGUGUCCAUUAUGGAAAUUACCAGCUGAUAAUUUCCACUUGUUUCAUUUAUUGAUUUUAUUUCCACUCUGCAACCCACACCAAGUUCAUGAAAGCUCCAUGUGAGCAGGGUCUUCCGUCUGUGUGGUUCACUACUGAACCUUCUGCUUCUUGAAUUUUCCAGUGCAUAGUCAGUAGGCAAAUAUUUGUUGAUUGAACUUCUGAUGGAUUGCACAUACAAGCACUUGUUUUGUGAAUGCUAUUUUGCCAACAAAACUGGAAGAAAUGCAUCUUGCACUCAGCAUCUCUGAAGCACCAAAGCCUAACAUUUCACUCUGCUAUUUGUGGGUUGGAUUGACGUCUUGGGUUACACCCUUCCAGCUAAUUUGCAGGAAGCCAAGCUGCUCCCAACGUUGCCACGAUUCCAUGGUCAGAAAACGCCUGGCUGGAGAUCAUAUACAGCAGAUGAAGAAAAAUAAAUGAAACUUUACAACCAUAAAUUGUUAAGAGUGAAGUCACCCAGAGUUUGGAGACAGAGUGGGACAGAACUGAUUUUGAUACUGUUUUUACCACUGAAAGAUGUUGUUUUACCCUUUUAAAAUUUUCUGUGCUGACUUAAUGUAAUUCCCCAGAAAUGGCCAAGUCUCAAAUUUCACUAUUGUCAUAAAAUAUUAGAACUGAAAAGAACCUUAGUGAUCACUCAAUUCAGACUACUUCAUUUAUCACCCAGCUUAAUUUUAAUUGGAAGCGUCUUAGGGUCUCACUGUUGUGUGUUGGGGGCUUAAGUUUUAGAAAUUCACAUUAGAGAUAGUGUUGCUCAAAGUUGCUGCCUUUUUUGGUACUACCAAGUAGGUUUAAAAAUACUCUUUUCUCGACCACCCCCUUAUGUAUUUGUAACAACGCUAUAAAGAUCACACUUACAAGAUUAACCCCACAAUAUUUUUAGGUUUUAUAUUUUUGCUCACCUAACAUCUUUCCUUGAUGUUUCAAAAUGUCUAAGAUAUUAAAGAAUUAAGCUCCUUAAAACGAUGAAGUAGGACACAGUAGUUUCUUCAGGGACACUUGAAGAACGUAAUUGUAUUCUACUUAACUAGCUUACCCUCCUAGACCCUAACAGACUAUAUCCAUAACAAACCUGUGAAUUUUGUCUUAACUUGCAAAGAAGUGCAUUAACAACAAAUUAAUUCACUAAAUGUUUGAUGUCAAACUAUCAACUCUCAACAUUAAGAGAUGGCAUUUUUAUAAUCUUGUUCAAUUUUAUUAAACAGGUCCUAAUCCUGAAAUUCAGGUACUAUUCACCUGCAGCUAAGUCUGAAAACCAAAACCAAAACCCAAGUGCUAUUUCCCCCAUGGGCUGAAAAUGGGACAGCGUGACUAUUUCAAGUCUCUCAAACACAAAGCCGUAUUCACUCAAGGAAAAUCAUUUACAUGUGGUUAAGGAAACAGGAAAUUUUCACAUUGGCUUUCAUAUUUACAUUUUACCAAAAAUUUCCUGAACUCAGUAAUCAUUACUACCACUUUUUAUAGUAUUAUUUACUGCAUCUUAAAAAAAAAAACAACUUAGCAGAAAGUGUACAGUUGAAGAAAACUGGAUGUCAGUCUACAAAUGAUUUACUUUUGGCAUGACAGACUUUAUUUUGGCACUUUCACAAAUAUUUUGCUUUACAGCAGUGACAAAAUAUUUGCCAGAAAUUUUUCUUUUCCUGGCACGGAUAUUCCAAGCAGUUGUUAUUCUUUGAAUUCAAUUUCACUCUGCUUUGCACAGUUAGACGUAUACCCGUUCUUACCUUCUGUUACCGAGGGACUCUGUGUGGCUUUAGAAGGUGCUACCGUUUCCUUUAGUCACUCUAAAGUGAAUUGAUUCUGUAAGUGAUGGGGCAGGAAUUUGAGAAUUAAUUAAGGCCAUUAAGGACUUAAGUAAAUACUGUUCCAAGUGUUGCUUUUAAAAAAAAUUGUUUUUAAUGAAUUCUGUGGCAAUUCCACGGAAUGUUCUCCAAAUAAAGUAUUCAUACUUUAUUAAAAAAGUAAA